CCCUUAGAUGUUCUGGGCCGCACGCGCGCUACACUGAUGCAUUCAACGAGCCUAUCCUUGACCGACAGGUCCGGGUAAUCUUUGAAUCUGCAUCGUGACGGGGAUAGAUUAUUGCAAUUAUUAAUCUUCAACGAGGAAUGCCUAGUAGGCGCAAGUCAUCAGCUUGCGUCGAUUACGUCCCUGCCCUUUGUACACACCGCCCGUCGCUCCUACCGAUUGGGUGUGCUGGUGAAAUGUUCGGAUCGGCCGUUUGUCGCGGUUUCCGCGUCAUGUGGCUUAGAAGUACAUUAAACCCUCCCACCUAGAGGAAGGAGAAGUCGUAACA
rnacentral:rRNA from 1 species